rnacentral:rRNA from 1 species
AUGCAAGUCGAGGGGUAACAGGAGAGCUUGCUCUUGCUGACGACCGGCGCACGGGUGCGUAACGCGUAUGCAAUCUACCUUAUACUGGGGAAUAGGCCAAAGAAAUUUGGAUUAAUGCCCCAUAGUAUUUUUCUAACACAUGUUAGAAUUCUUAAAGCUCCGGCGGUAUAAGAUGAGUAUGCGUGAUAUUAGCUAGUUGGUGAGGUAACUGCUCACCAAGGCAACGAUAUCUAGGGGGUCUGAGAGGACUAUCCCCCACACUGGUACUGAGACACGGACCAGACUCCUACGGGAGGCAGCAGUGAGGAAUAUUGGGCAAUGGAGGCAACUCUGACCCAGCCAUGCCGCGUGAAGGAAGAAGGUUCUAUGGAUUGUAAACUUCUUUUAUUUGGGAAGAAACCUUUCUACGUGUAGAAAGCUGACGGUACCAAACGAAUAAGGACCGGCUAACUCCGUGCCAGCAGCCGCGGUAAUACGGAGGGUCCAAGCGUUAUCCGGAAUCAUUGGGUUUAAAGGGUGCGCAGGCGGUUUAAUAAGUCAGUGGUGAAAUCUCGGGGCUUAACCUCGAAACUGCCAUUGAUACUGUUAGACUUGAGUUCAGUUGGAGUAGGCGGAAUGUGUAGUGUAGCGGUGAAAUGCUUAGAUAUUACACAGAACACCGAUAGCGAAGGCAGCUUACUAAACUGAUACUGACGCUGAGGCACGAAAGCGUGGGGAGCGAACAGGAUUAGAUACCCUGGUAGUCCACGCCGUANACUAUGAUUACUCGAUAUUGGCGAUAUACAGUCAGUGUCUAAGCGAAAGUGAUAAGUAAUCCACCUGGGGGAGUACGGUCGCAAGAUUGAAACUCAAAGGAAUUGACGGGGGCCCGCACAAGCGGUGGAGCAUGUGGU